rnacentral:rRNA from 1 species
GAGUUUGAUCAUGGCUCAGAUUGAACGCUGGCGGCAUGCCUUACACAUGCAAGUCGAACGGUAACAGGUCUUCGGAUGCUGACGAGUGGCGAACGGGUGAGUAAUACAUCGGGAACGUGCCCCGAUCGUGGGGGAGUAACGGAAGACGAAAGCUUUAGUCCUAAUACCGCACUAAGAAUCUACGGAGUGAAAGACGACGGGG